rnacentral:rRNA from 1 species
CCUACGGGUGGCAGCAGUGGGGAAUAUUGCACAAUGGGGGAAACCCUGAUGCAGCGACGCCGCGUGAGUGAAGAAGUAUUUCGGUAUGUAAAGCUCUAUCAGCAGGAACGAGACAAGACGGUACCUGACCAAGACGCCCCGGCUAACUACGUGCCAGCAGCCGCGGUAAUACGGAGGGGGCAAGCGUUAUCCGGAAUCACUGGGUGUAAAGGGAGCGUAGACGGGUGUGCAAGCCUGAAGUGAAAGGCGGGGGCCCAACCCCUGGACUGCUUUGGGAACUGGACGGCUGGAGUGCAGGAGAGGUAAGUGGAAUUCCUAGUGUAGCGGUGAAAUGCGUAGAUAUUAGGAGGAACACCAGUGGCGAAGGCAGCUUACUGGACUGUAACUGACGUUGAGGCUCGAAAGCGUGGGGAGCAAACAGGAUUAGAUACCCCUGUAGUC